GAUGAACGCUGGCGGCGUGCCUAAUACAUGCAAGUCGAGCGAACCACUUCGGUGGUGAGCGGCGAACGGGUGAGUAACACGUAGGUUAUCUGCCCAUCAGACGGGGACAACGAUUGGAAACGAUCGCUAAUACCGGAUAGGACGAAAGUUUAAAGGUGCUUCGGCACCACUGAUGGAUGAGCCUGCGGCGCAUUAGCUAGUUGGUAGGGUAAAGGCCUACCAAGGCGACGAUGCGUAGCCGACCUGAGAGGGUGAACGGCCACACUGGGACUGAGACACGGCCCAGACUCCUACGGGAGGCAGCAGUAGGGAAUCUUCGGCAAUGGGCGAAAGCCUGACCGAGCAACGCCGCGUGAAUGAUGAAGGCCUUCGGGUUGUAAAUUACUGUUAUAAGGGAAGAAUGGCGUCUAGUAGGAAAUGGCUAGAGUGUGACGGUACC
rnacentral:rRNA from 1 species